CUUUUGUGACUCUCUGUCAACAUCAGGCUAAAGGCACACUCUUUUACAGAAACCCCACAGCUACCACACUCGGCAGGAAUCCAGGUAAGUUACUACCUGUACUUCCCUUCUUUCUCUCUGUUGAGUACUUCCUAGGAUAUUACUAUAUCCCACCACUGUUGCCUACCUAAUCCCAUCUUCACAGCCUACCACCAUCCUCUUGGGGUUCACUACCACACAUAGUAUUGAUACACACUCCCUAUAAUUCUACUUUUACCAUCUUUUUUAUGAUUUCUUAAUGACUUCAGAACCUCUUUUAGGAAUCUCAUAGUUACCACACUUGACAGGCAAACACAUAUGCUACAUGUGCUAAUAGAAGUCUUCCAGACAAAAGCUAGACAGUCCGGGAGUUAAAUAACAUAAUGAAUUAAGUGGACUUAAAACACAUAUGCAGGACUUUCCACUCAUACAGUAAGGAACACACUUUGUUUCCAUCAGGCGAUGGAACUUUCUUCAAAAUUGAUGACAUAUUAGGGCAAUGAGAAAUGAAUAGAGACUGGACUUUUAAAAGCAUUUGGUAAUCUAUCUUACCACCGUGAAUUAAAGUAGAAUAUCAAUAAUAAUAGAAACCACAGUAAGUAUAUACAUUCAUGGAAGCUAAAAAGUGAGUACUGAAUGAAAACUAGGUAAAGAAAAAAAGGUAAGUUGAAAUUUUAACAUUUUAGGAAAUUGAAUGAAAAUAAAAUCCCAACAUACCAAAAUGUACAGGUUAUAAUGAAGGUAUUUUAGGGGGAGAGAAGUCAUAACAUAUACUGUUCACAAUGAAAACCAACAGAGAUCUCUAAAUAAUAAUGGUAUAAUUAAAAGAUUUAGAAAAAUAAGAGAUAAUACCUCAAAAACAACAGAUGAGGAUAUAUAACUAAAUUCACUUAAAAAUACUGACAUGAACAGAUAAAGAAUAAGUGAAAGAAAGAGUGGCUCUGAAAAAAAUCAGGACCCACAAAUUGUCAGCCAAAUUAAGCAAAAUCAAAAUUAAUAAAAAUUAGAGAUGCCAGUGCCUGGCAAAUACAGAAGUAGAUGCUCACAGUCAUCUAUUGGAUGGAACACAGGGCCCUAAUGAAGGAGCUAGAGAAAGUACCAAAGGAGCUAAAGGGGUCUGCAAUCCUAUAGGAGGAACAACAAUAUGAACUAAUCAGUAUCCCCAGAGCUUGUGUGUCUAGUUGCAUAUGUAGCAGAGGAUGGCCUAGUUGCCCAUCAAUGGGAGGAGAGACCCUUGGUUUUGUGAAGAUUAUAUGCCCCAGUAAAGAAGAAUGCCAGGGUCAGGCAGCAGAAGUGGGUGGGUUGGGGAGCAGGGCGGAGGGAGGGUAUAGGGGACUUUUGGAGAGGAAACAAGGAAAGGGGAUAGCAUCUCACUUGUAAAUGAAGAAAGGAAAAAAGUAAGAAGAUAAUGUAAUUAUAUACUAAUCUUAAAAAUAAAAUAAAAAAUAAUAUUUCUUUUUUUCUUUUUUCUUCACUUUUUUAUUAGAUAUUUUCUUCAUUUACAUUUCAAAUAUUAUCCUGAAAGUACCCUAUACCCUUCCCCUGCGCUGCUCCUCUACCCACUCACUCCCACUUCUUAACCCUGGCAUUCCCUUGUAAUGGGACAUAUAACUUUUGCUAGACCAAUGGGCCUCUGUUCCGAAUGAUGGUCGACUAGGCCAUCUUCUGCUACAUAUGCAGCUAGAGACACAAGCUCUUGGGGGUACUGAUUAGUUCAUAUUGUUGUUCUACCUAUAGGGUUGCAGACCCCUUCAGCUCUCGGUAAGUUUCUCUAGCUCCUAUAUUGGGGACCCCAUUUUCCAUCCUAUAGAUGACUAUGAACAUCCACUUCUGUAUUUGCCAGGUACUGGCAAAGCCUCACAGGAGACAGCUAUAUAAGGGUCCCUUCAGAAAAAUCUUGCUGGCAUAUGCAAUAGUGUCUGCAUUUGGUGGCUGAUUAUGGGAUGGACCCCCAGGUGGGACAGUCUCUGAAUAGUCCAUCAUUUCCUCUUAGCUCCAAACAUUGUCUCUACAACUUCUUCCAUGGUUAUUUUAUUCCAUAUUCUAGGGAGGCAUGAAGUAUCCAUGCAUUGGUCUUCCUUUAUGAUUUUCUUGUGGUUUGGAAGUUGUAUCUUGGGUAUUCUAGGUUUCUGGGCUAAUAUCCACUUAUCAGUGAGUACAUAUCAAGUGACUUCUUUUGUGAUUGGGUUACCUCACUCAGGACGAUAUCCUCCAGAUACAUCCAUUUGCCCAAAAAUUGGUCAAGAAAGAAAUAAAGAAAGGAAUUAAAGACUUUUUAGAGUUUAAUGAAAAUGAAGCCACAACAUUCCCAAACUUAUGGAACACAAUGAAAGCAGUCCUAACAAGAAAACUCAUAGCCCUGAGUGACUCC
rnacentral:lncRNA from 1 species